rnacentral:rRNA from 1 species
UACAGAGGUCUCGAGCGUUGUUCGGAUUCAUUGGGCGUAAAGGGCGCGUAGGCGGCGGGGUAAGUCUGGUGUGAAAUCUCGGGGCUCAACUCCGAAAUUGCACUGGAUACUGCUCUGCUAGAGGGCUGGAGAGGAGAUCGGAAUUCACGGUGUAGCAGUGAAAUGCGUAGAUAUCGUGAGGAAGACCAGUGGCGAAGGCGGAUCUCUGGACAGCUCCUGACGCUGAGGCGCGAAGGCUAGGGGAGCAAACGGG